GGUGUCUAAAAGCUAUUCUUUCGUUCGGUAUUGUUCCGCCGUAAUGGGCUAAAUUAUAAUUGCAAAUGAUAAAUUUGCUCUCGCUGCUUAAUUUAUAUUAAGAAAGCGCGGUUUGGGGCACCGGGCAACAGAACGCCCCUUA
rnacentral:tmRNA from 1 species